CUCUCUUACCCUUCUUCUUGUUAUUUACCUUCACAUUACUUCAUGUGCAUGAGCCACACCACUUCACCAAAUGGGGUGGCUGCAAUCCCUUUUCUCUCCACUGAAGAAAAUAUGGCUCAAGCUAAAUUCAACUCAAAAGAAGAGAAGAGGGCUUUACAUUCUAUAUGAAGAUGUCAAAUCUUGCCCCUAUGAAGAUGUGCACGUCCUCUGGUCCAUACUAGUGGAAUCACAUUCACCUUCUUUGCCAUUGAAAAAAUGAAGGCCAUGGGGACAUUGCAGGAUUGAGAAGAAUCUCACCAUGUACAUACAAAUAAUUAUAAUGUCCAUAGUACAUAGUGUUUUCUUUACUUUUAACUUUUGUAGCUCCAAAGCAUAAUGACUCUAAAAUUUUGUUUUUAAAGCGACUGCUAUAAGCUCUUACUAUUUAUUUA